rnacentral:rRNA from 1 species
GUUGAACGCUGGCGGCAGGCCUAACACAUGCAAGUCGAGCGGAUGAAGGAAGCUUGCUCCUGGAUUCAGCGGCGGACGGGUGAGUAAUGCCUAGGAAUCUGCCUGGUAGUGGGGGAUAACGUCCGGAAACGGGCGCUAAUACCGCAUACGUCCUGAGGGAGAAAGUGGGGGAUCUUCGGACCUCACGCUAUCAGAUGAGCCUAGGUCGGAUUAGCUAGUUGGUGGGGUAAAGGCCUACCAAGGCGACGAUCCGUAACUGGUCUGAGAGGAUGAUCAGUCACACUGGAACUGAGACACGGUCCAGACUCCUACGGGAGGCAGCAGUGGGGAAUAUUGGACAAUGGGCGAAAGCCUGAUCCAGCCAUGCCGCGUGUGUGAAGAAGGUCUUCGGAUUGUAAAGCACUUUAAGUUGGGAGGAAGGGCAGUAAGUUAAUACCUUGCUGUUUUGACGUUACCAACAGAAUAAGCACCGGCUAACUUCGUG